rnacentral:rRNA from 1 species
GACGAACGCUGGCGGCGUGCUUAACACAUGCAAGUCGAACGGAAAGGCCCUGCUUUUGUGGGGUGCUCGAGUGGCGAACGGGUGAGUAACACGUGAGUAACCUGCCCUUGACUUUGGGAUAACUUCGGGAAACUGGGGCUAAUACCGGAUAGGAGCUCCUGCUGCAUGGUGGGGGUUGGAAAGUUUCGGCGGUUGGGGAUGGACUCGCGGCUUAUCAGCUUGUUGGUGGGGUAGUGGCUUACCAAGGCUUUGACGGGUAGCCGGCCUGAGAGGGUGACCGGCCACAUUGGGACUGAGAUACGGCCCAGACUCCUACGGGAGGCAGCAGUGGGGAAUAUUGCACAAUGGGCGGAAGCCUGAUGCAGCAACGCCGCGUGCGGGAUGACGGCCUUCGGGUUGUAAACCGCUUUCGCCUGCGACGAAGCGUGAGUGACGGUAAUGGGUAAAGAAGCACCGGCUAACUACGUG